AGAGAGAGAGAGAGAGAGAGAGAGAGAGAGAGAGAGAGAGAGAGAGAGAGAGAGAGAGAAAGACAGAGAGGAGUGGGGGCGCUGAGAGAUAGAGAAACAGACAGACAGACAGACAGACGCAAGGAGAGCAAGUCGAUUCCGCACUCAACCCAAUCCCUAAGCCCGUCCAUCUCGCUCAAAGCAAGUCCACGUGGAAUAAAUCAAGAUCAUACGCACCACGCUUGUCAAGACGGCCUAAGUGUGUCCCAAAAAUACCGGCGCGUGGGAGAGAAGAAUGAGCGAGGGGCAUAUAUUCUUGGAUAGAAGGGUUAUGUCAGUUGGAUAAUGGAAGUCAUUUCACACGACGGAAAUGACCAGUUAAUUUGAAUGAUGAAGAGUGUGCUGACCCUGCCUGUGACCUUUGACCCCCCACCAGCCUGGCCACAAUAACACAAUAAAAUCUGGAAAUAACA